rnacentral:rRNA from 1 species
AUAAUGGGUCAGCGACUUAUAUUCUGUAGCAAGGUUAACCGAAUAGGGGAGCCGAAGGGAAACCGAGUCUUAACUGGGCGUUAAGUUGCAGGGUAUAGACCCGAAACCCGGUGAUCUAGCCAUGGGCAGGUUGAAGGUUGGGUAACACUAACUGGAGGACCGAACCGACUAAUGUUGAAAAAUUAGCGGAUGACUUGUGGCUGGGGGUGAAAGGCCAAUCAAACCGGGAGAUAGCUGGUUCUCCCCGAAAGCUAUUUAGGUAGCGCCUCGUGAAUUCAUCUCCGGGGGUAGAGCACUGUUUCGGCAAGGGGGUCAUCCCGACUUACCAACCCGAUGCAAACUGCGAAUACCGGAGAAUGUUAUCACGGGAGACACACGGCGGGUGCUAACGUCCGUCGUGAAGAGGGAAACAACCCAGACCGCCAGCUAAGGUCCCAAAGUCAUGGUUAAGUGGGAAACGAUGUGGGAAGGCCCAGACAGCCAGGAUGUUGGCUUAGAAGCAGCCAUCAUUUAAAGAAAGCGUAAUAGCUCACUGGUCGAGUCGGCCUGCGCGGAAGAUGUAACGGGGCUAAACCAUGCACCGAAGCUGCGGCAGCGACGCUUAUGCGUUGUUGGGUAGGGGAGCGUUCUGUAAGCCUGCGAAGGUGUGCUGUGAGGCAUGCUGGAGGUAUCAGAAGUGCGAAUGCUGACAUAAGUAACGAUAAAGCGGGUGAAAAGCCCGCUCGCCGGAAGACCAAGGGUUCCUGUCCAACGUUAAUCGGGGCAGGGUGAGUCGACCCCUAAGGCGAGGCCGAAAGGCGUAGUCGAUGGGAAACAGGUUAAUAUUCCUGUACUUGGUGUUACUGCGAAGGGGGGACGGAGAAGGCUAUGUUGGCCGGGCGACGGUUGUCCCGGUUUAAGCGUGUA